rnacentral:rRNA from 1 species
GGAAAGGCGCGCGAUACAGGGUGACAGCCCCGUACACAAAAAUGCACAUGCUGUGAGCUCGAUGAGUAGGGCGGGACACGUGGUAUCCUGUCUGAAUAUGGGGGGACCAUCCUCCAAGGCUAAAUACUCCUGACUGACCGAUAGUGAACCAGUACCGUGAGGGAAAGGCGAAAAGAACCCCGGCGAGGGGAGUGAAAAAGAACCUGAAACCGUGUACGUACAAGCAGUGGGAGCACGCUUAGGCGUGUGACUGCGUACCUUUUGUAUAAUGGGUCAGCGACUUAUAUUCUGUAGCAAGGUUAACCGAAUAGGGGAGCCGAAGGGAAACCGAGUCUUAACUGGGCGUUAAGUUGCAGGGUAUAGACCCGAAACCCGGUGAUCUAGCCAUGGGCAGGUUGAAGGUUGGGUAACACUAACUGGAGGACCGAACCGACUAAUGUUGAAAAAUUAGCGGAUGACUUGUGGCUGGGGGUGAAAGGCCAAUCAAACCGGGAGAUAGCUGGUUCUCCCCGAAAGCUAUUUAGGUAGCGCCUCGUGAAUUCAUCUCCGGGGGUAGAGCACUGUUUCGGCAAGGGGGUCAUCCCGACUUACCAACCCGAUGCAAACUGCGAAUACCGGAGAAUGUUAUCACGGGAGACACACGGCGGGUGCUAACGUCCGUCGUGAAGAGGGAAACAACCCAGACCGCCAGCUAAGGUCCCAAAGUCAUGGUUAAGUGGGAAACGAUGUGGGAAGGCCCAGACAGCCAGGAUGUUGGCUUAGAAGCAGCCAUCAUUUAAAGAAAGCGUAAUAGCUCACUGGUCGAGUCGGCCUGCGCGGAAGAUGUAACGGGGCUAAACCAUGCACCGAAGCUGCGGCAGCGACGCUGAUGCGUUGUUGGGUAGGGGAGCG